GAUGCAGACAGUCUCCAUUAUGUAGCUCUGAAUCUGGAAACAAGAAGAACAGGUCUAGAAGACAGAGAAGCAACAUGMAGGAUYKGAUGMUGUACUCUMGGAUCAGACAUUAGAACUGGAUGAAUGACAGCCUUAAUUGUUAACUUCAUUGGCUGUAACUGUAAUGAAUUAGCGGGUACCCCUUCUCAGCAAAGCCAGAAUGUGAAGCCUCACACCAACACAUCAGACCAACAGUUCAGUGACAAGAAGAGUACCAAGCCCAGGAGACGGUGGAGAGAACAGAGGAAGAAACCAUCAACUCUGGUGUGAGUCAUCAAGACAGUAUGUGACAUAUGAGGGUUCUUCAAUUAGCAUCAUUCUAAAUUAAGCCCCGCCCCUCUGAACUCCACAUUGAUCUUGACAGAGCCAGCAUGAACUGACUAUUAUAUACAUUUCUCAUUUAUUGUAGGAUGRUAUUGCAGGGGCCUAGCUAUGCCUAACAUAAAUGUAAAA